AAGAGAGCAGCGUUACAAGUACUGCAGCAUACCCAUGUCGGCAACUCUUAACAUCCAGAAUUAAAAGGACCUUACAGCUGAACACGGCUUCCUAUCAGCACAGUCUUUAAAGGAUAAAGCAAUCAAAUGCAAGCUCUUUUAUGGGAAUUGAGAAGUGAUUUGAAUAUUAAAACUCGCACAAGGGCUUUUGAAGAUGGGAAAUCGCAAAGGAGCACGGAAGUAUGUGUCCAUUUGAGGUUCGCUGGAAACGGAUCUUCAAAUAAAACAUGCUCUGUUAGGAUCUGAUCGCUCUGGUUCGAUCACCCUGACAAAUCCACCUGCCAGAGGGACGCGCUUCAAGCAAAGCCCAGUUAAGUCACCUCUCAGUGGGCUCCUGGAGCCUCUUUAAGUGACAGACGAGUUAGGGUUAGCUCCCAGGUUGUGGGAGGGGGCACGGCUCCACUGACGUGAGCGAAACAACACUGAUUUUUGCCAGCUGAGCCGUGGACCCGCUUGG